UACGAACCGUGCGAACGUUGUUCGGAUUCAUUGGGCGUAAAGGGUGCGUAGGCGGCGCGGUAAGUCGGAUGUGAAAUCUCGGAGCUUAACUUCGAAACUGCAUUCGAUACUGCCGUGCUUGAGGACUGGAGAGGAGACUGGAAUUUACGGUGUAGCGGUGAAAUGCAUUGAGAUCGGAAAGAACACCAACGGCGAAAGCACUCUGCUGGGCCGACACUGACACUGAGCGACGAAAGCUAGGGGAGCAAAUGGG
rnacentral:rRNA from 1 species